UACGUAGGGUCCGAGCGUUGUCCGGAAUUAUUGGGCGUAAAGGGCUCGUAGGCGGUUUGUUGCGUCGGGAGUGAAAACUUACAGCUUAACUGUGAGCGUGCUUCCGAUACGGGCAGACUUGAGGUAUUCAGGGGAGAACGGAAUUCCUGGUGUAGCGGUGAAAUGCGCAGAUAUCAGGAGGAACACCGGUGGCGAAGGCGGUUCUCUGGGAAUAUCCUGGCGCUGAGGAGCGAAAGUGUGGGGAGCGAACAGG
rnacentral:rRNA from 1 species